GCGGCGCUCAGUAGGGCUACCACCGCCACCACCACCGCCGCCACCACCACCGCCACCACCACCGCCGCUGCUGCUGCUGCCCUUGGCGUGGUUUUCGCCGACGGAUUUGACUUUUUUUGUGUGGAAUUCGCGCGAUAAAGGGGCAUCCCAAGAGACGCGCCCUCUCUCUCCUCCCGCUCCCUCCUCUCUCUGCCGGAGCUUGAGAGCGGCAAUCCCCGUCCAACUCACAUCCCUCUCACACCGCACCCGUCUCGUCGUCUCUGCUUCACCUCUGCACCACGUGGUCGUCUCUGCUUCACCUGCGCACCACGUGGUCGUCUCUGCUUCACCGCUGCACCACGUGGUCGCCUCUGCUUCACCUGUGCACCACGUGGUCGCCUCUGCUUCACCGCUGCACCACGUGGUGGCCUCUGCUUCACCUGUGCACCACGUGGUCGCCUCUGCUUCACCGCUGCACCACGUGGUCGCCUCUGCUUCACCGCUGCACCACGUGGCCCCUGGCUGCGGAAGACGCGAUUCGUACGGCGGCCGCCGUCGAGGUGCAACGUCGAGGAGGCGGGAGUGGAGGUGGUGGGGGGAGCUUCGGUAGAGAGAGAGUGGGUGGGUGUGUGGGUGGGUGUGUGGGGGGUGGCAGGCGACCGAAGAGAAAACGGAGAGUGAAGAAUAAUCGAGGAGGAGGAGGAGGGAGGGGGGACCCGGAGGGAACGACGCUCCUCGCUCGGCGCGCCCGAGUGGAGGUGUCGGCAAGGGGAGAGGCGAGCGCACGGCAGGCAGCAGAUGCAGACCAGAUGUGACUCGGCUGGCCGAGCGAGGUGACUGCGAGCGAGGUGACUGCACGCGACGCGGCAUCGGCGGCCUCGGCCCAUCUCGCCACUCGCCCCCCAGCCCCCCCCCCAGCCCCCCCGCAGGCACCACGACGUCG